rnacentral:rRNA from 1 species
GACGAACGCUGGCGGCGUGCCUAAUACAUGCAAGUUGAGCGAUGAAGAUUGGUGCUUGCACCAAUUUGAAGAGCAGCGAACGGGUGAGUAACGCGUGGGGAAUCUGCCUUUGAGCGGGGGACAACAUUUGGAAACGAAUGCUAAUACCGCAUAACAACUUUAAACAUAAGUUUUAAGUUUGAAAGAUGCAAUUGCAUCACUCAAAGAUGAUCCCGCGUUGUAUUAGCUAGUUGGUGAGGUAAAGGCUCACCAAGGCGAUGAUACAUAGCCGACCUGAGAGGGUGAUCGGCCACAUUGGGACUGGGACACGGCCCAAACUCCUACGGGAGGCAGCCGUAGGGAAUCUUCGGCAAUGGAGGAAAGUCUGACCGGGCAACGCCGCGGGAGUGAAGAAGGUUUUCGGAUCGUAAAACUCUGUUGGUAGAGAAGAACGUUGGUGAGAGUGGAAAGCUCAUCAAGUGACGGUAACUACCCAGAAAGGGACGGCUAACUACGUG